rnacentral:ncRNA from 1 species
UUAAAUUCUAUGAAGGAAAGAGUAGGUAUUGGGUUAGUAUCUAAAGCGAAUGAGGGAUGGUGGAAGCCUUAUGAGAAAAACAAUGCUGAAUGACAUUCCAGAGAAGUUUAUCUGAACGCUAUUUUGGUUAAUAGGAUAAAACGUAUUCCUACGUUACAGGAUUAGAGAUGACUUUAAUUUUUAAUUGAAGUUAAGCAGGAUGGUACCGUGAAGUUUAUACUCUCACUCAUGCACAAUGAGUGAGAGUUUUUUAAUUUUCAUAAUGUGCUGCUUAAAAUUUAAUUAUAUAUUAAGGUUAAUUAGGGUGGUACCGCGAAUUUUUCGUCCCUUGA